rnacentral:rRNA from 1 species
UAGGGAAUCUUCGGCAAUGGACGAAAGUCUGACCGAGCAACGCCGCGUGAGUGAAGAAGGUUUUCGGAUCGUAAAACUCUGUUGUUAGAGAAGAACAAGGACGUUAGUAACUGAACGUCCCCUGACGGUAUCUAACCAGAAAGCCACGGCUAACUACGUGCCAGCAGCCGCGGUAAUACGUAGGUGGCAAGCGUUGUCCGGAUUUAUUGGGCGUAAAGCGAGCGCAGGCGGUUUCUUAAGUCUGAUGUGAAAGCCCCCGGCUAAACCGGGGAGGGUAAUUGGAAACUGGGAGACUUGAGUGCAGAAGAGGAGAGUGGAAUUCCAUGUGUAGCGGUGAAAUGCGUAGAUAUAUGGAGGAACACCAGUGGCGAAGGCGGCUCUCUGGUCUGUAACUGACGCUGAGGCUCGAAAGCGUGGGGAGCAAACAGG